rnacentral:rRNA from 1 species
CUCCUACGGGAGGCAGCAGUGGGGAAUAUUGGACAAUGGGGGCAACCCUGAUCCAGCGACGCCGCGUGUGUGAAGAAGGCCUGCGGGUUGUAAAGCACUUUUAGUGGGGAUGAUAAUGACAGUACCGGGAGAAUAAGGAUCGGCUAACUUCGUGCCAGCAGCCGCGGUAA